CUAUAGCGUAUGAAAGCUAUCAGUCUUAGAUAGUUAUUUACGACGAGCAUUGAAGAGCUCUCGAUUUGACGUCGAUCUAAUUCAAGUAUGAAUAUGCAACCCGUACGAAUGUCACGGUGUGAGUAGCCGGGUUAGUUAAUCUCUACGUCGGACGAGCAUUUGAUUACAAUCGACGGCAGGAAAUCCCUUCGUUCUACGCGAUGUGUACGAGGUAUCUCACGGUAUGGAAUGAUAUCUGCGGGAAUUCCACGAAAUUCGGAGAUCCUAAUUGUACAGAAUCCAUGGACGCCGGCGAGCUAAUCCAGGAGAAGGGAAAAGUGGAAACGUUACAACUUGUUUUAAAAAAUUUUCAGGCGGAGGUACGCCGAGAGGAAGAAGAUAUCCACUCCGAAUUCGUCGCAGAAACCUUUCGUCGACCAAAGAAACGACUUCCGGGACGCACCUUGUGUGCGCAACGUGCGAGUAUCCCUACCUCUCACUCCGGUGGACGCGAAUGCGCGAACACGUGUGAACUCCAAGUGGCGCGGGAGGUACACGUGUAUGCGACGAGAACCUUAAUCCAAGAUUGCGUCUCGGGAUCUCGCGAGAGGUGGCAGAACCGGAAGAGAUGAGGUGAGGUAAGGAGGCUCCGUCGCGACCGGGUUUUCCGAGGAAGUUAAGGGAAUCGGGGGACGCACGGGGGACCUGGAGAAUCUCCCCGAUUCGCGAAGAAGAAGUCGAGGCUACCCCGUCGCCGCUACUCCGGGGAUCCAUUCAAGAGCAGACGUUGGUAGACACCUUGGCAUAGAUAUCCGAUAAGAUUUCUCCCGGGACGUGGCCCAGGACACACCGUGGAGGAUCCUAUCCUUCGACCCGUUCGAACGCGACAAGACCGACUGAUCGGAGAAGCGGGGCACGUAUGGCGGGAGUUUACGGCCAAAAAGCGCAGCUCUGGGGAACUCAAGGGGUUAAUCUCGGGAUUGCGGCGACGUGGAUUAAUUCGCCGACGUGUAGCGCUCGCACGUGUCGCGCGAGUAAAACACAACGUGGCCGGCGCCGCGCGUAUCGCGCUUUUUGCGAUUCAGAUCUCGGGUCGGCCAGACUAAUGACCGAGGAAGGGCCUUUCCCGGGUUGAGGCACACACAGGUUGGCUCGUCGGCUGGAACGAGAAACGGGAGACGCUCCACGGAGAUCGACGUGCGAGUCGUUAAACUCACCCCGGAGACCGUAAACUAUCGUGAGAGGGUCGAGCCGAAGGGACAAUGACGCUCGCUUCGCAAAGUGCAAAGGACACGAGGCGACAGGGACGACCGCGACGAGGACGACGAAUCGUCCCGGAUGGAUUGGCGAACAAAUAAAUACAGAUCGUAGGUCGAGAUUCGGAGCGAAUCGAUGCGCCCGCGCUGGCGGGCUAUGUCGAGAGUAGAUUUAUCUCGUGAAAAUAUAGUGGAAAUAGAAGUAGAAAUAGAAGGAAUUUAGUGGAAUUUCUAUCAAUAGAAUAGAAUUUAUGAAUUCAAGAGCACUUCCUAUAUUUUUUCAGAAUGUCUGAGUCAAAAUUUGAAUCCUACUUUCUCUACCUGUGAAUAUUUUACUUAAUGCCUAUUUAAAUAUUUUAUAUCAACUUCUGUUGAUUCUAUUCGAUCUAUUAACUUUGUUGAGAAACAUAGUCCUUUUUUAAACCAAUGAGUGACAUUUUGUGCGUUUCUUACGCUGAAUAGGAUUUUAGUUUCCAUAUAUGUAUUAAAUAUAUUUUCAUUCUUCAGAACAUAUAAAUGUUAAAAAGUUCAGGUCGAAAGUAAGGCUAAAAUUUCGAGUAAAAUCUCGCUCUAAACAAGUGAUUUACUCAAAAUUGAAAACACUACUACUCGGAAUCGUAAAAGUGAAUACUUCACUCAAACUCAGAGUGGAUUCUGACUUUACACAAGUAAAUAUUUCAGUCGAUUAGAAUAAAUUUAUUCCUGUAAUUGUGCGACACAUUAAAUUUAUUCUUUAAAUUUCAAGUAGAAAUAUUCUCUUGACGAUCCAGAGUGGAAAAUUUACUUCAUAUGAGUGAAAAUUCGAUUCUAGUCACACAAUAGUCACUUUACGAGUGAAAUUUCACUCUAAGAAUGAAUUUUAUCUAUUUGUACCAUCCGAAUGCAGUCAUGAGUUAUUUAUUAUUUUAUAGAUAAUAAUAGAAACAUUAAAAAUUAUGUAGUUUUACAGAGGUUCUUGAAUCCUCGUCGAGAAUAGUUUUAGUCUUUUAAAGGUGUUAUUCUACUCGUUCAGUAACUCAUCAUCAGAGCUGAAUUCAUCAUCAAAGCAUUGAAUCUGAGAAAUAUUCCGAAUCAAAAUUUUGAUGCUACGUCCGACUUUAAUAUUCUAUUUUUCUAACGCCUGCUGAUACUCUGAAGUUUAUAUAAAAUAAUUACCAACCAUAUAAGACUAUCAGUUGAUUGGAAGCAUCCUGCAAGGGAAAAUAUGAGUAUAAAAAUUAAUAUAAGAUAAAUAUUCAAUUAUGUACAUCCUUUUAAUCAUUGACAUUUUAGAACAAAAUUUGAUUUUUCUUGCAAUCAAUAUUGCAAUUAAACUUUUCUUUACACUGUAUGUUAUCAAAAUAGGAUUUCACAACUGCUUCUAAUCGCAAAAAACUCGGUUUCACUAGAAUAUCAAUGAUUUAUGCUCGUUUCUACCAAUAUCGAUUAAAUCUUAACCUAAGUUUGUCUUUGUCUAAACAGAGUUUAAAAGUCAACGUUUAAUUCAGUGGUUGGUACAAACAGACACAAGAGGAAUCAAUAAUUGGGUAUUUUAUCUUACCUCAUACAUCACACUGAUAAGGUCCUAAUAUCGACCGGUAGAUGUUUCACAACCGUUGGUAUUUAUAAAAGUUUCUUAAAUAAUAUGAUGAUGAAAAAUAUGAUGUUUCUUAAUAAAACGAUGAGACAUUGAACGAAUAGGAUAUCACCAUUAAAAGACAUUAUUUAUAUAUUUUCGACGAGGGUUCAAGAAACUAUCUUUGUAAAACUACUUAAUUUUUAAUAUUUCUAUUAUUAUCUAUUAAAAAACUGUACUUAAUUACGAUAA